UACGGGGGGGGCAAGCGUUGUUCGGAAUUACUGGGCGUAAAGGGCUCGUAGGCGGCCAACUAAGUCGGAUGUGAAAUCCCCAGGCUCAACCUGGGAACGGCAUCCGAUACUGGAUGGCUUGAAUCCGGGAGAGGGAUGCAGAAUUCCAGGUGUAGCGGUGAAAUGCGUAGAUAUCUGGAGGAAUACCGGUGGCGAAGGCGGCAUCCUGGACCGGCAUUGACGCUGAGGAGCGAAAGCGUGGGGAGCAAACAGG
rnacentral:rRNA from 1 species